GUCUUUAGCCAUACCACCCUGAAUGUACCUGAUCUUGUCUGAUCUUGGAAGCUAAGCAGGGUCGGGCCUGGCUAGUACUUGGAUGGGAGAAAAUGGGCUUCAAUGUCU
rnacentral:rRNA from 1 species